UGUUCAUCACCAGCUACAUUCUCCCAUAAAAGAUAUACUUGGUCAUAGAAGCACCAACACUACUGUAGUACAAGAUGACUACAAAAUCAAUCAUCCAACUUUUGGUGUUUGCUUUAGUUUUCACCUUAUCUAUAAUGCCUCGUGGUUGGGGUGAGCAGGAUUGCUAUCGUGAGAAAGCAAAAUUUAUAGAGAUAUGUGAUCUGAGCAUUAGGCGUGGCAGUGCCUACAUGGAACCCCACUAUGCCUGCUGCCUGAUUGUGCGAACAUACGACAUGGUGUGUGUAUGUCGUACCAUGACAGAUGAGGACGAGAAAACCGUAGAUGUACAGCAUGCUUAUUUUGUUUCACGAGAUUGCCACAAGCCGGUGCCUGCAGGAAACAAAUGCGGUAGUUGGACUAUUCCUGAACCACCUUCGCCACCACCAAGCAUGCAUUAAGGGAAGCCGAUAAAGGAAUGAUAAUGAAAGAAUAAACGUCUCCUUAGCUUGAUUUUGUGAUUUAUAUCAUGACGUUGUGGAGAUGGAUACAAUAUGUGCUUUUAGUUGAAAUAUUUGAAGCAAUCCCUUUUCUUUUCA